rnacentral:lncRNA from 1 species
UGGUGAGUGGGACAUGUGGCGAAAAGAGACCGGCUAGAGGGGAUUCGCAAUCGUCAUUAUGCCGGAUCUCAGGGCCUAUUUAAACCCGCACUCCUCCUCCAAGAGUCCCGCUCUAUCCGACGGUCUCGUUCUGGCAUCCUUCUUCUUCCUGAGAACUUCGAUUUUUCUCAGCGCCCUUUCCAGCCUUAGGCAUUCCUCGAGCCGUCCCCAUUUCC